AUGCCGUUGGACUUCACGAGGCACUCCCCGUACGUGUCGCAGGAGUUCAAGAUGAAGACGAACACCGGCUGCUUCCGGAGGGUCACAAUCCGACUGUUGAACGACAGGGUCACCCUCGAACAGGGUUGGGCCACCUUUGCCGCCAUCCAUCAGAUGAAGAUAGGCUUCAUGGUGACCUUCAAGCUGCUGACUCCCGACAUGCUGAAGGUCAUCGUCUUCAAUGACAAUGUCAUUGAAGUGGUGAUCAGGUGCGGGAGGCCUUCGCCGUGA
rnacentral:rRNA from 1 species